rnacentral:rRNA from 1 species
GGACUACUGGGGUUUCUAAUCCUGUUCGCUCCCCUAGCUUUCGCGCCUCAGCGUCAGAUGCCAGCCAGGACACUGCCUUCGCCUUUGGUAUUCCUCCGGAUAUCUACGCAUUUCACCACUCCACCCGGAAUUCUAUGUCCCUCUCUGGCCCUCAAGUCUCGCAGUUUUCGGCAGGCCUUUCCCGGUUGAGCCGGGAACUGUCACUCCGAACUUACCAGACCGCCUGCACGCCCUUUACGCCCAGUAACUCCGGACAACGCUUGCCCCCUACGUAUUACCGCGGCUGCUGGCAC